UACAGAGGGUGCGAGCGUUAAUCGGAAUUACUGGGCGUAAAGGGCGCGUAGGCGGAUAGUUUAGUCAGAGGUGAAAGCCCAGGGCUCAACCCUGGAAUUGCCUUUGAUACUGGCUAUCUUGAGUUCGGGAGAGGUGAGUGGAACUCCGAGUGUAGAGGUGAAAUUCGUAGAUAUUCGGAAGAACACCAGUGGCGAAGGCGACUCACUGGCCCGAUACUGACGCUGAGGCGCGAAAGCGUGGGGAGCAAACAGG
rnacentral:rRNA from 1 species